UUAUCUUUAACUGACGCAAUUAAUUAUAAUUUGGGAGAUCUACCGCACUAAAAGCAAAAGAGCGUCAAGCUUUUAAUUUUUCCCAUUAUAUUUUUAUUUUAGCUCAUUUUUUUCUCCGCCAAAACCUAAACCUUUUUUCUGUCUCUCUCGCUCUCUCUCUAAAGUCUCCAAGCAACUGCCUCUCUCUCUCUCACCCCAAAUUGUACUGUAAAUCGAUGCCUUCUCACCAAAUUAACGGUGUUCAUCAGUCAUAGUGUGGAUUUUGGCAAUAAAAUCUAUGGUGCUCUUCUGUUUUUUGCAAUUUGUCUUUCAUCUUCUCCAAUUUCGAUUUUUUUGUAACCAAAUAUUUUUGUAUUUUGUAAAUUACAUGUGGGUUUUCACUUUAUUUUUGUGUUGUUUUGGGUAUUCUUUGUUGGAUUUGAGGUUUCUCUAUUUAUUUGUAGUUUUUUGGUUGAUUUGGGGUUUCUAUGUUGAUUAUAUGCAAUUUAUUAGCUUGAUUUCUCAAUAAACCUAGACUUUUCUGGCAUGCAAUCUUUUUUAUUGCCUCAAUAGUACUUUAAGAAUACAUUACUACUUCGUCGCUUCUUUCAUGUUCUGUCGCUGUGUUUUGGUUAGUUUUUUCUCCAUUAUUUCUUUAAUUGCUGCACUGGUAUGCCUAAUUUUUGCUUAGAGAAGAAAACAAAAUAAAUGUAAGAAGAUAGUGACACAUUCCUACUUGUUCUGCAUAUUCAAGCUCUAUGUUGGAUGUGAGGUUUCUCUAUUUAUUUUGAGUUUUUUGAUUGAUUUGGGGUUUCUAUGUUGAUUGUAUGAAUUUAUAAGCUUGAUUUCUCAAUAAACCUAGAAUUUUCUGGCAUGCAAUCUGCUUUAUUGCCUCAAUAGUACUUUAAGAACACAUUACAACUUCGUCGCUUCUUUUAUGUUCAGUCGCUGUGUUUUUCAGUAAAAUAAAUUGAUUUGCCG
rnacentral:lncRNA from 1 species